GGCAGAGGCGCCUCUCCUUUCUCAUUUUCGUUCUCACCUACCUCCUCUCUCUGUUCCAUGGCUAAAACACAAAAACAUCAAAUUCUCCCUACUCAAACAACAACAACAACAACAUCGAUUUUCUCUCUUGCUCUUGGUCGAAAAACAACAACGAAGCUCUCUCUCGGUUAUUUAAUCUCACCGUGAAUCAACAACAAAAGCAAACUUGUUGUCUCUCUCAAUCGGUACUCGUUUCUCACUCGCGGUAACAACAACAACGAAGUUCUUACUCUCGCGGUUCUCUAUCGGUGACUCUCCGCUCAUGUUGAACAACAACAACGAAAUCCGCUAUCGGUUUUGGCUUACGGCAGACAAACAACAACAACUUAUCGCAACUUAAGUGAUGCACCAGAAUAUAUUUACUGUAAAAAUUAACAGUGAUACUGAGAGUGAAAGUUGAAGAUACUUACUUGCGGCAAGGAGAUUUUUGCCGGAUUUUGUUCAGCCCCUAUUUGAUGAAGAUGUUGCAACCUUUUGUUUGGACUUGCGGGAAUACCUUUGGAUAUUUGGGAUGCUCAAAGGUUGAGCUUGUUGGAAGUUGAAGACUUGAAGAUGAAGAUUCAAGCUUGUUGAAGGAUGCUAGUAAGGUAUGAAACACUUACUCCUCUUCUCUCUUUUUUUGUAUCUUGUAGAUGAAGUUCUUACUACUUUCACAAGACUUUUUUUUAUGUGAAAGAAAACUUUGAAGUGUGAGAACUUUGUGUGUGUUCUCCGAUUUCUCUUCAUGUCAUAUUGUGUGUGCCUCUCCUCUAUUUAUAGAGGAAGAAAAUGAGAGAUAAUUUUGGUCAUUUUUGCACCCCAAGAGCUUUAGCUUAGUCUUUAAGGUUACUUAGUGGCAAAGCUUUAAUCAUUACAAAGAAUAUUCUUCAAAAUAAUCAUUACCAAGUAAUCAUUACUAGGCUUUCUUAGUUGUUAAACUUGCUUAGUGGCGAAGUUCCAUAAAUUUGUGCACAUGGGAAUAUGCACAUGGGAUGGAAUAUAUUCUUCAUAAGUCUUGCAUUGUAAAACUUCCACGACACAUACUUCAUUCUAUGUCAAAGUUGGUAACUUCUAUGUGGUAGUUAUGACACAAAAUAUUCCUCUUUGACUUUCUUUGACUUUUUGACUUUUUGACUUUGAUUUUGGGCUUUUGGGCCCUCUUGAAUUAUUUUUGUUAGACUUUUGCUAAUUCCACCCUUUUUGUUUCUUUUUCAUGUGACAUGAGUCUUUGAAGAAAGAAUGAAGAAACUUGGACUUGAAGAGUGAAAGCUUGAAGAUUUGAAGAAUUCAAGAAACUUUGCAUUUUCUUUUAUUCUUGUAAUUCCAAAAGAAUUUGUAUGAACUUGUAUUCUUGGAACUUUGAAUGUAAUCUUGAAUCUUUGGAU